rnacentral:rRNA from 1 species
UACGUAGGGUGCGAGCGUUGUCCGGAAUUAUUGGGCGUAAAGAGCUCGUAGGCGGUGUGUCGCGUCGGCCGUGAAAACCUGGGGCUCAACUCUGGGCGUGCGGUCGAUACGGGCAUCACUUGAGUUCGGCAGGGGAGACUGGAAUUCCUGGUGUAGCGGUGAAAUGCGCAGAUAUCAGGAGGAACGACCGGUGGCGAAGGCGGGUCUCUGGGCCGAUGACUGACGCUGGAGGAGCGAAAGCAUGGGUAGCGAACAGG